rnacentral:rRNA from 1 species
AAUAUCAAAGGUGAGCCAGUACAGGAUGGACCCGCGUCUGAUUAGCUAGUUGGUAAGGUAACGGCUUACCAAGGCGACGAUCAGUAGCCGACCUGCGAGGGUGAUCGGCCACAUUGGAACUGAGACACGGUCCAAACUCCUACGGGAGGCAGCAGUGGGGAAUAUUGCACAAUGGGCGAAAGCCUGAUGCAGCAACGCCGCGUGAGGGAUGAAGGCCUUCGGGUCGUAAAACUCUGUCCUCAAGGAAGAUAAUGACGGUACGUGAGGAGGAAGCCCCGGCUAACUACGUGCCAGCAGCCGCGGUAAUACGUAGGGGGCUAGCGUUAUCCGGAUUUACUGGGCGUAAAGGGUGCGUAGGCGGUCUUUCAAGUCAGGAGUGAAAGGCUACGGCUCAACCGUAGUAAGCUCUUGAAACUGGGAGACUUGAGUGCAGGAGAGGAGAGUGGAAUUCCUAGUGUA